rnacentral:lncRNA from 1 species
GAUAUGAUCUCCACCACCACAGAUAAUCUUCACUGCAUAAUUGGAAGUAGCAAAGCACAAUGGUUAUUUCAGCACAAGUGAUAAGGAGGAUAAUGAAUACCAAGAACAGGAAACCAAAGAUGUAGUAGAACUGGUUCAGCCAGAUUGAGGUGAGAAUGAAGAACAGCUCGAUGAAAACAGCUCCAAAUGGAAGAAUUCCUCCGAUCAGAAUAGAAAAAGUCGGGUUCAUAUACCAAGCUUGCUCUGGGAUCUGCCUUGGGAUUUUGUUCGUCUUCACAGGAUCCUCAAUUGCUGGCUUCUUGAACCCAACAUAACCACCCACAAAAACAAGUGGAACUGAAAUUCCGAACCACAUGAGGACCAGAGCAAACAUUGUCCCAAAAGGCACGGCCCCAGAAGACUUCUGGCCCCAUAUAAUUGCAUUUAAGACAAAGAAGAUGGCAAAGACAAUGCCUGGGAACAUGCACGCAGUCCUAAAAGCUAAUUUCUUCCAUUCUGCUCCUUUAAACAUUUUGUACAGACGGGCAGAAGCAUAGCCAGCAAAAAUGCCCAUGAAGACCCAAAGUAAAAGCAUAGCUGUCAUCAGACCACCUCGGUUUGAAGGGGAAAGAAAUCCAAAAACGGCAAAGAUCAUGGUAACAAGUACCAUGCCCAAAAAUUGAACACCGGUGCCAACAUAGACACAGAGUAGAUCAGAAUUAGAUGGAGGCCUGAAAACAUCCCCAUGGAGAAGCUUCCAUCCUGUCUCUUCUUGGGCUUCUUCCUGAGUCUCAAGUUCGUUAUACCUAGAAAUGUCACGGUAUAGUGUCCUUAGCAUGAUCAUUGCUACCAUUCCCGAAAGGAAGAGAACAAUCAUCAAAGAAUUGACAAUUGAGAACCAGUGUAUUUGGUCAUCAUUCAUUAAAAGAUAUGCAUCCCACCUAGAUGCCCACUUCACAUCACUCUCCUGAAAGUCGCACAGAAAAAUUUAAGAAUACUAGCACCUCAUAGAUUUAUAUGUCAGAAACUUAAUUCAAGAAAAUGUUAUACAAUAGAGAAUUUUUUCCAAGUAAUAAUAUCAACAGAAUCUACUUAAACACAAUACAAGCUUUAAGGGUUCAGCUCAAGGUUGCCAUUGGAAAAUUUUAACAUUGCAAUUGUCAACCCUACAAAUUAUUUGAAGUUGAAGAACUCACCUGGUAUUCAACAUCAUAGGUGAAUAUUAUCUCCUUUUUUGCUUCAACUUCUUGAGGAGUGUUAGAAUUAACAACUGUGCGUUUAUUAUGGGGGUCGCAUGUUGUUAAACGACUUUUUUCAUUCCAUUUCCCCUCAUAUUCAUGUUUAAUACUGCAUUGUUUUAGUAUAUAAAGAAAAUGUAUCAAACACAAUACAACAAUCUCGGUCACAGAAACCUAGAAUUAAAAUUAUUAGAAUAUGCUAGACUCAAAGGAGCUAACCUGUAUGGUUUAACCUCAAAACCCACAAUUCUAGCAGAGUCAGUUUGCGGAUCCCUAUGAUAUUUGACAGUAAAUGCUAAAUGGUUGUGAAUGAAAUAUUUUUCUUCCUUGCUCUGCACAUAACCAGAAAACAUAAGCAAACACAGAUAUAGUAGCUAAUUACAUCCACAAACAAAGGAAAUUUUAAUACUUGUAAUAGAUAUUAUGUUUACCCCACUAUAUUGCCCUUUGAGCCCAACAUGGUAGCCAAGCUGAUAAACAGUAGAAGAAUCCUGAUCUAAUCUUCUAAUGGGGACAACAAGGGGAAGGUUAUCCAGUAUCCUGUCAAUUGAACCACAAAUUAAUUAGACAGAGAUCCUAGGCAACAGCUAUAAAAAGAUUGAAAGAUGAAUUCCAUGUCCGAAUAAGCAAAUGGCAUACAUAUUGACUCGAUAUUCAUCAUCAAUCUUCUCCUUAAAUAGCUUUGCAGUUUUGGCAUCAAGUGUAAUGCGGCAAAGAACAGUACACAUAUGUGGCUCUCGCAUUUUAAACUACAUUAAUUGGAGUCAAUAAGAACAAGUUAAUGGCCAUAGAAUAAACAACCAACACUAAAUCAUCAGAAAUACUGAUAACUGACCACAUAAGGAGAGUUUUCAAUUCGGUCACCACGAAGCACUUCCCCAAGAUUCUCUGCACUGUCAACAAUCUUUUCAGGUGGACAAAAAGGAAGCGAAUAGUACGAGUAAGGAAGUUGAGUCUUUAUAGAUGUCAAUUUGUUCACUUUCACCUUCAAAGGAUCUCCCUGCAAACCCCCAACAAAAGAAUCAAAACUAAAGAGGACCAAAAUGAUUCUUUAAUGAACAGUCCCAACUAUCACAGCAUGUAGUGAGAACUUAGUUUUUAAUCAAAGUCAUUAUCGAUCAGGUACGCAAUGUAACUAAUCACCAUAAAGAUCAAGCACACUUUGGCGCUUCCACUAAUACAUUAUGUAAAUUGAAUCUCGUUCCUUAAGCAAUAAUUGCAGAACAUGAUUAACAUAAAGUACAAUCGCAAAUGCCAUGGAUAAAUGCAAGACCGGAAGAAAAUUUUAAAAACUAGCUAAAAGUGUGGACACUCAACGUUUUGAAAUAAAAGAAUCAAAACGGCAAACGAAAAUCAUAAAGUGAAAUGAAGUUAAUUGUUCUAAUUUCUUGUUUAAAAAAAAAACCCAGCUGAAUCUGAGACGGUUUUUCCACUUCCAACACGCAUGCAAAAAAAUUCAUUAAUUUUCCUUCUCGUAGAGAUCAUAUACGUAUCUUAUUAUUCUAUAAAAAACAAACAGAGUUGAAAGUGAAGAUACAAAAUAAAAACCAUAUCAAUAAAUAAAGAAGAGAAGAGAAAGGGAAAGACGACCUUCUGGAAGUCCUCGGGGGCAACACCGGGGAGGUAGAAGCAGUGAGCGGCAUGGAUCAGGAAAAGGAAGAGAAUCGGCCAUAUGAUGGUGGCAGUUAAUCGGUGCAUAGAUCUGGAUCCAGAUUCCAUUUUGACGGGGUUGGAGAAGGAAACUCUCUCUUUGAGAAGGAAGAGGAGAGGGGAAAUGAGAUCUGAUAAAAGAGAAGAGCUUAUAUGUUGUUGUUUUUUAAUCUUUUUUAAAAUCUGCCGUGGAAUUUGAUUUUUCUUAUCUACCGUGUGGUGACUGGCGGUGGCCAGUCAAUUCGUAUUCGAGUGUCGGUCAUGGUCAUGGUCUUGUGGAUUAUUAUUAUGUCUUUUGGGAUUGGACUGAUCUAUUUAGGCCCAUUCUUUUUUUUUUUUGUUUUUUCUCUGAGAUUUCAUUUCCGGGUUUGUAAGCCGGUUUGGAAAACAACUCCCUCUAACAUCUGAUCAUGGCCGGGUCGGAUCAGAUUCGAGUCGAGUAUAAGUAUGAUAUUAAGAUAUUUUAUAUUUGUUCAAACUUAGUCCGAUCUGAAAUAUGGGCCCAAAAAUUUGCCCAAAUCUAAACUCAUUUUAGACUUACCCGUAUUAUUUUUAAAAAAUUUUAAACAAAUAUUAUAUUAUAUUAUUUUAAUUUUUUAUUGAAUUUUUUUAUAUAUUCAUCUUAAUAUUAUUUUAAUAUUUACAUUAGAAUAGUAUUAUAUAUUUAGUAUGAGUUUAUUUUUUUAAUGUGUUCUAAAAUACAUAAUAUAUAAAAAUAACAAAAUAUAAAGUAUUAUAAACUUAAAAAUAGGUCGGGCCGGGCUCGGGCCUUGAAUAUUCAAGCCCAAGCUCUACUCAUAUUUUAAACGAGCCUAAUUUUUUACCCAAGCCCAUUUAUCGGGUCUAAUAUUUUUAUCUAAAUCUUCCCAAAUUUCAGGCGAAUCUUCAAAUCUAGACUGGUAACUCGACCCAUGAAUAGGUCUACUCUUAUUCUACUGAUUCUAUAAAGGUAAAAGUGACUAACAAAUCCCUCUAAGAAAUUAAUUAAAUACUAUGAUUGUUCUAAGAAAUUUUGUAACUGGGUAAUAUAAUAUGUAAUGGGUAAAUUACAUCCAAUGUCACUCUAAAAUAGGGUCUGUCUUAUUUUGAUAACUCUAAUUUUUUCUCAAUUUAGUCACUAUAAAUAAGAUAAUUUUGCAAAUUAGUCACUGCCAUCAAAAUUUUCAUUUUCCUUUAAUGGAUUGCCAACGUGACACAUUAGUUCAUUGAGUGACUAACAUGUGUCAUUUUUUGUUGACUUUUGACUAAAGUUUAAGGGAAAAAGUUUUGAACUAAUUAUAGAGAGGUUCCUAAACUUUAAUCAAAAGUCAACAAAAAAUAUGUGUCAAUCACUCAAUGUGCUAAUGUGUCACAUCAACAAUCUGUUAAAAGAAAAUGAAAAUUUUAAUAGAGUGACUAAUUCACACAAUUAUCUUAUUUAGAGUGACUAAAUUGACAAAAAAGAUUUUUGAAAUGAUCAAAAUAGAACAAAUCAUAUUUUAGAGUGACCAUGAAUAUAGUAAUUUACACUUAUGUAAUUCAUGUGUUACAUAAAACACUAAAAUAUAUGUUGGAACAUUUUCAAAUAUUUAUAAUGUUCCAAUAACUAUAAAUGAAUGGGUGUAAUUAAUCAAAAGAUUAUAUCGUUUGAUUUUUUAAAAAAGAAUUAUAACUAUUUAUAUAAUUUUAUUUGGAUAGUUAUAAUUAAAUGAAUAAUUAUGUGUUUAUUUUAAAGACAUUAUUAUUCAGAAAGACACAUAUUGAUGAAAGAUGUCUCUAUGAAGAGACAUGAAAAUUCCUAUAAAUAGGAAUGAGAUUUCAUUUGGAAAUCAUACCAUCAAAUUCUAAUAUUCUUUCUUUCAUUCCUUCGUUUUCUAAUAUUAUUAGACUAUUCUAUAAAGUAUUACUGCAGAAAUCCUUUAUAGAAAUUGAGUUUCUUGUCAUACAAUUGAUCAGUGUGUAGUGGGCUAUUCUCGUCAGUGCAAAACGUAAAUAGUCAUUGGCUUCAUUGUAUCCUCGAGGUUAAUUUGCUUGGAACUCAUUUGCACACCGAAGAUAGGUGAGGGCGAAUAUAACCUUAAAGAUAGUGGCUUAAUACACGACUUGGAGCCUUGUCCUAUUUCUUCUUCUGUUAGAGUUCCGUUCGUGUGUUCGAGAUUUUCUUCACUGAAGAUUUGUACUAACAAUUGUAGCAAUUCUUGCUACUGGAGCAUAGGUAUCAAAGUAAUCAAUACCUUGUUUUCGUGUAAAACCUUUGGCUACCAACCUUGCUUUAAACUUAUCAAUGGUUCCAUCGACCUUCAUUUUCUUUUUGAAGAUUGCUUAUGUUUUGGAUAUUCCAAGACCUGGCGAGACUGAAAAUGAAUUUGUUGCUGCAACCCAAGAAAGACAAAAAUGGGACAAUGCUGAUUACAUGUGCAUGGGCCACAUAUUGAAUGGUUUAUCUGAUGGUUUGUUCGACACCUACCAAAACGAAGUCACCGCUAAAGAAUUAUGGGAAAAACUGGAGACAAGAUUCAUGACCGAGGAUGUUACAAGUAAGAAAUUUCUUGUCAGUCGUUUCAAUAUUAUCAAAUGGUUGAUGGUCGUUCUGUUAUGGAACAAUUCCGUGAUAUUGAAAAGAUGUUGAAUCAAUUCAAGCAAUAUGAUAUGAAAAUGGAUGAAAUGAUUGUUGUAUCUUCCAUAAUAGACAAACUUCCUCUAUCUUGGAAAGACUUUAAAAGAAGUCUAAAACAUAAAAAAGAGGAAAUAUCUCUUGAAGCUUUGGCAAAUCAUCUUCGUAUUGAAGAAGAAUAUCGAAAGCAAGAUCAGAAUCUAAAUUCUGAAAAUGCCAAAAUGCAUGUUACGGAGGAAGUACAGACUACUAAACUAUUCAAGAGAAAGUUCAAACAAACUGAUAAAGCACCUAAGUUCAAAAAGAAACAAAAGGACUCAUGCUAUCAUUGUAGUAAGCCGGGACAUUUCAAGAAUGAAUGUCAAUUUUUAAAGAAAAAAUCAUCUUCUAAGGCUGAUAAUAACAAAAAGUUCGUUCCAAUGAUAUCUGAAAUUAAUAUGGCUCAAGAUGAUAAUACAUGAUGGAUUGAUACCGAAGCACCAAACAUGUAUGCAAAGACAAAAGCACGUUCACAAAGUUUACACAAUGUGAAAAUGACAAUGUCUUAUACAUGGGAAAUUCUUCCACCGCAGCAAUCAAAGGCAAAGGGUCUGUUGAACUACAAUUCACUUCUGGAAAGGUUUUAACCUUAAAUGAUGUAUAUUAUGUACCAGAAGUUAGAAAGAAUUUAAUGUCUGGAAGUCUGUUAAAUAAGUUUGGUUUCAAACUUGUUUUUGAGGCAGAUAAGUUUAUUUUGUCUAAGGGAGGAAUUUUUGUAGGGAAAGGGUAUAUGUAUGAGAGUAUGUUCAAGCUAAAUAUUAUUAAUAAGAAUAAAAAUACUGUUUCUGCUUAUAUGGUUGAGUCUUUUUUUUAUGGCAUUAUAAAUUAGGUCAUUUGAAUUAUAGAAAAUUGAAUGACAUGUAUAAGUUAGAUUUAAUUCCUGUUUUUAACAAUAAUAUUGGAAAAUACAAUACAUGUAUGUUGACUAAAAUUACAAGAAACCCUUUCCCUAAGGUUAAAAGAAAAACAAAAUUGCUUGAUUUGAUACAUAUUGAUUUAUGUGACAUGUAUAAUACUCCUACAUUAGGUGGAAAGAAAUAUUUUGUUACUUUUAUUGAUGAUUAUUCAAGAUAUUGUUAUGUAUAUUUAUUGCAUUCAAAAGAUGAAGUGCUUGAUAAAUUUAAAGUUUAUAAAUCUGAAGUUGAACUUCAGUGUGAAUCAUUUAUCAAGUGCUUAAGAUCGGAUAGAGGUGGAGAAUACUAUAAUCCAAGUUAUUUUGAAUCCACUGGGAUUAUCCAUCAAGUUUCAGCCCCCUACACACUACAACAAAAUGGUGUAGCUGAAAGGAAAAAUAGAAUCUUGACUGAAAUGGUAAAUUCAAUGUUAUUAUAUUCAGGUCUUAGACAAGGUUUUUGGGGAGAAGCUGUUCUAACAGUUUUUUCAUAUAUUGAAUAGAGUUCCUAAUAAGGAAACUAAAAUAACCCCCUUAUGAACAAUGGAAAAAAAAAGAAACCAAACCUUAAUUAUUUAAAUAUUUGGGGUUGUAGAGCUAUUGUCAAAGUUCCAACACCUAAACGUAAAAAGUUAGGUGAAAGAGGAAUUGAAUGCAUAUUUAUAGGAUAUGCACAAAAUAGCAAGGCAUAUAGGUUCAUGGUAAUUGAACCAAAUGGUUCAAUUUCAAUUAAUACUGUUAUUGAAUCAAGAGAUGUUAUUUUUGACGAAAAUAAAUUUAAUUCUAUAUCAAGACAAUUACAGCCACAAAAAUUGAUUCAUUCUUCAAAUGAGAAUGAGAUUCCAUUGGAACAAAUUGAUAAUAAUGAUGAAUCUUGUCAAGAUUUAAGAAGAAGUAAGAUGAUUAAAAAGGUCAAAGAUUUUGGACCAGAUUUCAUUAUAUUUCUUGUAGAAGGAAAAGGUGACAGUAUAUGCAAUAAGAUACCUUAUUGUUAUAAUACAGAAUCUGAUCCUAUUACAUUUGAAGAGGCAAUGAAAUCUCAAGACUCUGCUUUUUGGAAAGAAGCAAUAAAUGAUGAGAUAGAUUCAAUAAUGGGAAAUCAAACUUAGUUCUUAGUUGAUCUUCCAUCGGGUUCCAAACCAAUAGGUUGUAAAUGGAUCUUCAAAAAGAAAAUGAAAGUCGAUGGAACCAUUGAUAAGUUUAAAGAAAGGUUGGUAGCCAAAGGUUUUACACAAAAAUAAGGUAUUGAUUACUUUGAUAUCUGUGCUCCAGUAGCAAGAAUUGCUAAUUAGACUCUUAAUAUCACUUACUUCUAUAUAUAAUUUGGUUGUUCACCAAAUGGAUGUUAAAACUGCAUUUUUAAAUGGUGAAUUGGAAGAGGAAGUGUAUAUGGAACAACCGGAAGGAUUUGCUGUUCCAGGAUAAAAGCAUAAGGUUUGUAAGCUUGUUAAAUUUAUAUAUGGACUCAAACAAGCACCAAAACAGUGACACCAAAAGUUUGACAAUGUUGUUUUAGCUAAUGGCUAUAAAAUAAAUAAGUCCGAUAAGUGUAUAUAUAGCAAAUUUGAAAAUGGAAAAGGUGUCAUAAUUUGCUUAUAUGUAGAUGACAUGCUUAUUUUUGGCACAGAUUUGUAACAAAUAGAAAACACAAAGAAAUUCUUGUCAAACAACUUUGCUAUGAAGGAUAUGGGUGCAGCAGAUGUUAUUCUUAAUAUUAAAAUAACCCAAGAUGAAAGCACUAUAGUUUUAUCACAAUCACAUUACAUUGAAAGGGUGCUUAAAAAGUUUGAUCUUUUCAACUGUAUACCUGCAUCUACACCCAUGGAUCCUCAAAUAAAAUUAGUAUCUAAUACUGGUAGGAAAAUUGAUCAAUUGAAAUAUGCAAGUCUAAUUGGUUGUCUUAUGAACAUAAUGACUUGUACAAGACCAGGUAUUGCAUAUGCUGUUGGGAAAUUAAGUAAGUACACAAGUAAUCCAAGUAGCUUGCAUUGACAAGCUUUGAAUAGAGUACUUUGGUACUUAAAGAAAACUAUUGACUAUGGAUUGUGUUAUAAUGGAUAUCCUCCAGUUUUAGAAGGGUAUUCCGAUGCUAGUUGGAUUACAGGUUUGGAAGAUCAUGCAUCUACUAGUGGAUGGAUUUUCAUUCUUGGUGGAGGAGCCAUUUUUUGGGGUUCUAAGAAAUAAACAUGUAUUACUGAUCCCACCAUGACAGCAGAAUUUAUUGCAUUAGCCGUUGCAUCUAAAGAAGCAGAAUGGUUAAGAAAUUUGCUUUAUGAUAUACAUUUUAUGGCCGAAGCCAAUUUCACCUAUUUCUAUCCGUUGUGAUAGUGAAGCUACUCUAGCAAAGGCAUAUUGCCAAGUAUAUAAUGGAAAGUCUAGACACAUUGGAUUAAGACAUAGUUAUGUCCGACAAUUAAUUUCUGAUGGAGUGGUCACUAUUAAUUAUGUGAGGUUAAGUGAAAAUUUGGCGGAUCCUUUGACAAAAAGUCUUGCUAAAGAUAUAGUAAAAAGGACCUCAAAAGGGAUGGGACUCAAGCCCAUUAAUUAGAGUCACCCAUGAUGGAAACUCGACUCAAUGCUUGGUAUAACGUCAAGUCUUGAGUUCAAUGAGACAAAGUACAUCAUUAGUAUGUGACUGUUAGCACUGUAAAUAAAUCCAUCCUAAGAUUAAAGUGCUAGGUACCUGUAAUGAUAAGGGAAGGAUGAGUAAUGUACUCUUAAUAGACCCAUAACAUAAAAAUGUUAGAGUGUUAUAAUUACGGGAACACUCUUGAUAGGAUCUACGUAUGUGAGUGGAAGUAUGGCUGCUUCUAGGAGCUCAAGGGCUUGGUUCUAACAGUACUCAUAAAAAGAGGACACAGACAUAUGGCCAUAAUAGUGUCCCUAGAUACUGUAACACCCCAUACCCGUAUUCGUUGUAGGAAUAGGGUACGAGGCAUUAUCGGAGUUUAUGAAUUAAAUUUUUUUUACUCAAUAUAACCCCUUUAUAGUUAUCUAACCUUCCCUGCAAUUUAAAACUGAGACCAAUCCACAUCAACAAAUCCAAUUCAACACAAUUUCAAGAUAGAUUCAUGCAUAUUUAUAAAAUAACCUCAUCACAUACCAAAACCAAGAUUUGUUAGCCAUACCAAUGGCUGACCUUACAUUCAUUUAGCAUUAACAUUUACUUUAUUAGCUUAUACAUGCUAUUGAUUUCCAAAAUAAAGUUUCUUAGUAUACCAAAAUCUUGAGGUUGAUAGUGUGAUGUGUCUCCAACCGAAUCCGACCUCCGAGCUCUUAACACUACAAAACAGGGGAAAAUGAAAUAGGGUAAGCACUUUGUGCUUAGUAAGCUCAUGUAACAAGAAUUAUACUUACCUAAUAUUUUCAAUAUAAUGCAAUAAACAUUCAUAUAUCCAUUCAAUGCAUUAUUACCCUAACAUGCACAAACUCAACAUUCAAGUUAGUACAAUAAUUUCCAUGUAUCAGUAAUAUAUAUACCAUGAUUAAUGAUAUCAUCAAUACCAUGAUUUCCAUUCCCAUAUUAUUUUUCCAUAUUUAUCCCAUUGAAUUUCUUAGAAUUUUCGAUAGAUUUUCAGAGGUACACUUUUAGUGUACAAUUUUCGGGUCCGUCAAUUCAUAUACAUGUGCGCACAUUUCCAUUUCAGAAAGCACACUCCCACGAACCUCAUCCUUACAGCGGGGUUACCAGUCCAGGCUAAAUCCCCUGUAAUAUAAACUCAUAGAGUAUUGUUGGAGUCCAGGCUAAAUCCCCUACAACGACAAUUACUCUAAUGAGCUUAGAUCUGAAUUACCAGUCCAGGCUAAAUUCAGACCCUAAUUCGGAUUACCCGUCCGGGCUAAAUCCAUUUUUCACAUAUUCUUCGGGAGGGCUAUAUCAGAAUAGGAUCACUCGUCUGGGCUAGAUCCUUUUUACCGUCAAUUCCUUUUUAGAGAGCCAUCGAAAUUUCCUUUCAUUCAACCGUGAUUUCUUCCCCUUUUUAUCAAAUAUAUCAAUGUUUCAUCAAUUUUCAUAUAAUGAACAUUCAAAUCAUAUUCACAUCAAUAACAUACAUUUCAAGCAUUUAAGAAUAUAAUUCAAGUUACACGAACUUACCGAGAUACUUGUUCGUAUACAAAAAUCUACUAAUCCCGAACUUUUUCCUUUCAUCGAUCUAGCUUCGUUUUUGAAUCUUCUGGAUUUGGUGCAAAAAUUAUGAAAUACCAGCUUACAAAACCCUCCUAUGGCUUUUUUGGCUAAUGAGAAUGAAGAAAAAUGAAGAGAUUUCUAGAUAUUCCAAAUUAGUCCUACUUUAAUUUAGUAAAUUUUGUUAUUUUCUGAUUUUGCCCUUAUUUCAGUAAUUCUCUUGAUUUUUCUCAGCUUAUGCCGCCCAAAAUAUCUUUUUUGGAAUUAUUUGCUCUUUAGGUCCCUCCCCAUUUGACAAUUGAGCUAUUUAAUCCUUCUAGUAACUUUUACACCCAUUUCAAUUUAGUCAUUUUCAUUUAAUUACCUAUCCAAACGUUAAAAUUUUCUAACGAAAUUUUAAUACCACAUUACUAACAUUUUAUAAAUAUUAAUAAAAAUAUUUCCUACUCAGUUUUACGAGAUCAAGAUCUUAAUACCUUGUUUUUACCCAAUUUCUUCAAUAAUUCUUUUUUCUAACUUACCACUAAAUCGGUAAAAUUUUUUCUAUCGAUAUUUUAGUACGAUUUUCCUAUCAUAUAAAUAUUCAUGCAAAAAUAUUAAAAUAAACUUCUCUUUAAAUUGGAUUUGUGGUUACGAAGCCACUGUUUCGAUAACCUUGAAUUUAGGCCAUUAAAACUCUCCCCCCAUUUUAAGGAUUUUCGUCCUCGAAAAUCUUACCAGUAAAGAGGUUUGGGUAUUGUUUCCUCAUUGUCUCCUCCGGUUCCCAUGUCGCUUCCUCAAUCCCGUGCUUUUUCCACAAUACUUUCACCAAAUUUAUGUUUUUUUUUUAUUUUUAAGCUCAUUUGUUUCCCGUGCCAAUAUCUUGAUCGAUUCUUCACUGUAAGUCAUAUCUAGUUGAAUCUCCACUUCUGUCGGAGAAAUAACAUGUGAAGGAUCUGACCGAUAUCGUCAUAGCAUAGACGCAUGAAAAACGUUAUGGAUUCUAUCUAGUUCCGGUGGUAAUGUCAAUCGAUAAGCGACUGAUCCAAUUCUUUUUAUGAUCUCAUAUGGCCCAAUAAAUCUUAGACUUAAUUUACACUUUCGACCGAAUCGAAGAACUUUCUUUUAAGAAGACACUUUUUAGGAAUACCUUGUCACCGACCUGAAAUUCAAUCUCUUUUCGUUUAAGAUCGGCAUAUGAUUUUUGACGAUUAGAAGCUGCUUUUAAAUUAUCCCGAAUAACCUUUACUUUUUCUUUUGUUUCCCGGAUCAAAUCAACCCCAUGUAUUUUCUUUUCACUGAGCUCUGUCCAAUAUAAUGGUGUUCUAUAUUUUCUACCAUACAAAGCUUCAUACGGAGCCAUUUUAAUACUGGACUGAUAAAUGUUAUUGUAAGCAAAUUCAAUCAAAGGUAGAUAUCUCUCCCAAUUACCUUCAAACUCUAGUAUACAACAUCGGAGCAUAUCUUCCAAUACUUGAAUUACACGCUCAGAUUGGCCAUCUGUCUGAGGAUGAAAUGCAGUGCUGAAAUACAACUGAGUACCCAAGGCUUCUUGCAAUCCGUCCCAGAAACAAGUCGUAAAUCGGGGAUCUCUAUCCUAUAUAAUGGAAACAGGCACUCCAUGUAGCCUAACAAUCUCAGAUAUGUAUAGUUCAGCCAGUUUAUCUAAAGAAUAAUCUAUACGUACCGGAAUAAAGUGCGCUGACUUUGUCAAUCGGUCAAAAAUCACCCAAAUAGCAUCUUUUUCCCUCGGAGACAACAGUAACCCUGAUACAAAAUCCAUAGUUAUUCUUUCCCAUUUCCAUUCCAGUAUAAUAAUUGGCUGAAGUAACCCCGAAGGUACCUGAUGUUCAGCUUUAACUUGCUGACAUAUUAAACACCUUGAUACAAACUCAGAGAUAUUACGUUUUAUUCCGACCACCAGUACAUCUUUUUCAGAUCAUUAUACAUUUAUUACUCCCCGGAUGUAAAGACAUAGUACGGCUGUGAGCCUCGUGUAGAAUCUUCUGUUUGAGCUCUGAAUUCUGAGGUACACAUACCCUACAUCUGAAUAACAUACAACCAUCAAUCCCAAUUUGAAAUUCAGAAUCAGUACUUGACUCACACUGUGCCCGUUUAACCUGUAACUUCUCAUCAUUCUUCUGAGCUUUACAUAUUUGCUGUAGAAAUAUCGGUUUAACUCUCAAUUCAGCUAGGAUUGAACCAUCAUCAGUCAGUGACAACUAGGUAUUCAUAGCUCGUAAAGCAAACAGAGAUUUCUGGCUCAAAGCAUCAGCUACAGCAUUAGCCUUACCCGGAUGGUAAUCAAUAAUCAAAUCAUAGUCCUUUAUCAGUUCAAGCCACCUGCGCUGUCUCAAAUUCAAAUCUUUUUGGGUCAUUAGAUAUUUCAGGCUUUUAUUAUCAGUAUAAAUAUGACAUUUCUCACCGUACAAGUAAUGUCUCCAUAUCUUCAGCACAAAUACAAUAGUAGCUAAUUCAAGAUCAUGUACUGGGUAAUUUCUUUCAUUUGGUUUAAGUUGUCUUGAAGCAUAGGCUAUUACUUUACCUUCUUGCAUCAAGACACAACCUAAACCAUUUAAUAAGGCAUAACUGUAAAUAAUAAAUUCCUUACCCGGUUCAGGCUGCACUAAUACAGGUGCUUUCGUUAGUAAAUCUUUCAAUCGGUUAAAACUCUACUGACAUUUAUCAGUCCACCCGAACUUUACAUCUUUCUGCAAUAAUCGAGUCAUCGGAAAAGCUAUCAUAUAGAAUCCCUGUACAAAUCUCCGAUAAUAACCAGUUAAACCCAAGAAACUUCUAACUUCAGAUAUAUUCUUUGGUAGACUCCAAUUAACGAUAGUUGAGAUUUUACUUGGAUCUACCUUAAUGCCUUCGGCGGAUACAAUAUGUCCAAGAGAACCCACUUAACGAAGCCAAAAUUCACAUUUACUGAAUUUAGCAUAUAACUGCUUCCUUUGCAGAAUUUGCAACACAAUUCUCAAAUGUUUUACGUGUUCCUCUUCAUCAUCCCGAGAAUAAACCAAAAUAUCAUCAAUGAAUAAUACCACAAAUCUGUCUAAGUACGGUCUAAAUAUCUGGUUUAUCAAAUCCAUGAAUACUGCGGGUGAAUUAGUUAACCCAAACGACAUAACUAGAAACUCAUAAUGCCCGUACCUGGUUCUGAAGGCUUUUUUAGCACAUCUGACUCAUUUACCCAUAACUAAUAAUAACCUGAUCGAAUAUCAAUCUUUGAAAAUAUUGUAGCGCAUUUCAGCUGAUCAAAUAAAUAAUCAAUUCGGGGUAAUUGGUACUUAUUCUUUAUGGUUACUUUAUUAAGCUGCUGGUAGUCGAUACACAGUCUUAAAGACCCGUCAUUCUUUUUUACAAAUAGAAUCGGAGCACCCCAAGGUGAAUGACUCGAUCGGAUAAAACCCAUGUCAACAAGUUCUUGCAACUGUGUCUUUAACUCCUUUAAUUCUGUAAGAGCCAUCCAGUAUGGAGCUAUGGAAAUCGGAGUAGUUCCCGAAAUAAAAUCUAUAGAAAACUCAACUUCUCUUUCUGGUGGCAACCCUAGUAAUUCAUCUGGAAAGACAUUGAAAAAUUUACAUACCAGUGGCACUGCCUGUAUCUUUGACUCAGAUAUCUUGGUGUCGAGCACAUAAGCCUAGUAAGCAUCAUACCUUUUUUUGACAUACUUUUGUGCUGUCAUUACUGAAAUCACAUUAGAUAACCCCUCUGUCGGAUCAGAUUUAACCCGGAGCAACUCACCAUUCUGACAUUUUAGCACAAUAUAUUUCUGUCUAGAAUUUACUACUACAUCAUGUUGGGUUAACCAAUUCAUGCCCAAUAUCACAUCAAAUUCAUCAAAUGGCAGUAGCAUCAAAUCAACUAGGAAAUAAUAACCUCUUACCAUCAGUGGACAAUUUUUACAGAUUUUAUCCACCAAAACAGAUUGGCUCAGGGGGUUCGAGACUUUAACCACAAAUUCAAUAGGUUCAAUAGAUAAAUCUUUAACACAUGCAAGCUUUAUGCAUAUAUAUGAAUGCGUAGAACCGGAAUCAAUUAAUGCAGUAAUAUCAGUGUCAAGUAAAGAAAAUGUACCAGUAAUAACAUCGGGUGCUGAGGCAUCUUCUCUAGCACUAAUGGCAUAUGUCCUAGCAGGUGCUCGUGCCUCAGGUCUGCCUGCAGUAUCUUUUGUAGUUCCUCGACUACCACUGACAUUACCGGAUGGUCGAGGUGGUCUAACACUUGAAACUGAAUUACUCAGCUUCGAUAUCUGUUCAGCUUUUUUUUCACCCAUUUCUGGACAAUCUCUGGGGAAAUGGUCAAAAGAUCCACAUCGGUAACAAGCCCCACUUUUUAAUCGGCAUUCACCAAAAUAAGCUUUAUUACAGUACUGACAUCUCCGCUUAGGGGUCCCAACACUGCCAACACUGGUCACUGAUGGAGUGGAAGGUCUUGGAUUAGUGCGUUGAGAACCUCCCUCUCUGCCCGAAUACCCAGUGGCUGAGGUAGAACACUCUUGGUACUUCUUCAAUUUCUUUGAAACAGAAAACUGAGAUUUUUUUCAUGGGUCUUUUACUAAAAAUUCAAGCUUCCCUCUCAUCCUAUUUCUUCUCUUUGCUCAAUUCUUCUGCUUUAUAAGCUCUCUCUGACAAUGUAGUAAACUCUCAAAUUUCAAGAAUUCCGAUCAGUAGCUUAAUGUCUUCAUUCAACCCUUCUUUGAAUCGUUUGCACAUUUCAGCUUUUGACUGUACCCAUUCUGGAGCAUAUUUACUCAAUCGAACAAAUUUUGUUUCAUACUCAGAUACCGAUCUAUUGCUCUGUUUCAGUUCAAUAAAUUCUUUUCUUUUAUGAUCAAGGAACCUCUGGCUGAUAUAUUUCUUUUUAAAUUCGUUCUGAAAGAACUCUAAUGUAAUUUCUUCUUUUGGAACAACUGAAGCUUUAAUAUUCCACCAAUGAUAAGCUGUGUCUUUUAGCAGUGAGACGGUACAUUUCAAACAUUCUUCUGGUGUGCAAGAUAAUUCCUUCAAAACCAGAGUAAUAUUUUCUAACCAGAAUUCAGCCCGUUCGGAAUCAUCAUCAACUGCUGCUCGAAAUUCUUCUGCCCCAUAUUUUUGAAUUUUAUCUACUGGAGCUUUCUCUUUUCUGAUAGAUUCAGUACCUGUACCCUGUAGGAUCUCAGGAACCGGUGGAGGAGCAAGAGGGGAAGCUUGAACUUGCUGCACUACAGGUUUAGUUCUUAAGUAUUGACUAAACCAUUCAUUCAUCAUUUGAAAUAAGGCUAUUUUUGCCUCCUCCCCUCGACCCUCUGUCUCGGGCCUUCUACUGCUAGUUUCUUCUCUUUGUACUGAAGCCGGAGCCUGACUCCUAGCUUUCUCGGAUUGAGCUUGGUCGGAUGACAUUACUAUAAGAAAAACACAAUUUAAAUGGUCAGGAGAUAUCACACUAUCAAUAAUAAUUUAAAUGGCAUGUAUAGCUAAUCCCGCGUUUGCUACGUUGGUCCUAGAAUCGGCUAAACCGUGGCUCUGAUACCAACAAAUGUAACACCCCCUACCUGUAUUCGUUGCCGGAAUAGGGUACGAGGUAUUAUUAGAGUUUAUGAAUUAAUUUUUUUACUCAAUAUAACCCCUUUAUAGUUAUCUAACCUUCCCUGCAAUUUAAAACUGAGACCAAUCCACAUUAACAAAUCCAAUUCAACAUAACUUCAAGAUAGAUUCAUGCAUAUUUAUAAAAUAACCUCAUCACAUACCAAAACCAAGAUUUGUUAGCCAUACCAAUGGCUGACCUUACAUUCAUUUCGCAUUAACAUUUACUUUAUUAGCUUAUACAUGUCAUUGAUUUCCAAAAUAAAGUUUCUUAAUAUACCAAAAUCUUGAGGUUGAUAGUAUGAUGUGUCUCCAACCGAAUCCAACCUCCGAGCUCUUAACACUACAAAACAGGGGAAAAUAAAAUAGGGUAAGCACUUUGUGCUUAGUAAGCUCAUGUAACAAGAAUUAUACUUACCUAAUAUUUUCAAUAUAAUGCAAUAAACAAUCAUAUAUCCAUUCAAUGCAUUAUUACCCUAACAUGCACAAACUCAACAUUCAAGUUAGUACAAUAAUUUCCAUGUAUCAAUAAUAUAUAUACAAUGAUUGAUGAACUCAUCAAUACCAUGAUUUCCAUUCCCUUAUUAUUUUUCCAUAUUUAUCCCGUUGAAUUUCUUGGAAUUUUCGAUAGAUUUUCAGAGGUACACUUUUAGUGUACAAUUUCUGGGUCCGUCAAUUCAUAUACAUGUGCACACAUUUCCAUUUCAGAGAGCACACUCCUACGAACCUCAUCCUUACAGCGGGGUUACCAGUCCAAGCUAAGUCCCCUGUAAUAUAAACUCAUAGAGUAUUGUCGGAGUCUAGGCUAAAUCCCCUACAACGACAAUUACUCUAAUGAGCUUGGAUCUGAAUUAUAAGUCCAGGCUAAAUUCAGACCCUAAUUCGGAUUACCCGUCCGGGCUAAAUCCAUUUUCCACAUAUUCUUUGGGAGGGCUAUAUCAGAAUAGGAUCACCCGUCUGGGCUAGAUCCUUUUUACCGUCAAUUCCUUUUCAGAGAUCCAUCGAAGUUUCCUUUCAUUCAAUUGAGAUUUCUUCCCAUUUUUAUCAAAUUUAUCAAUGUUUCAUCAAUUUUCAUACAAUGAACAUUCAAAUCAUAUUCACAUCAAUAACUUACAUUUCAAGCAUUUAAAAAUAUAAUUCAAGUUACACGAGCUUAUCUCGAUACUUGUUCGUAUACAAAAAUCUACUAAUCCCGAACUUUUUCCUUUCCUCGAUCUAGCUUCGUAUUUGAAUCUUCUGGAUUUGGUGCAAAAAUUAUGAAAUAUCAGCUUAGAAAACCCUCCUAUGGUGUUUUUGGCUGAUGAGAAUGAAGAAAAAUGAAGAGAUUUCUAGAUAUUCCAAAUUAGUCCUACUUUAAUUUAGUAAAUUUUGUUAUUUUCCCAUUUUGCCCUUAUUUUAGUAAUUCUCCUGAUUUUUCUCAGCUUAUGCCGCCCAAAAUAUCUCCUUUGGGCUUAUUUUCUCUUUAGGUCCCUCUCCAUUUGACAAUUGAGCUAUUUAAUCAUUCUAGUAACUUUUACACCUAUUUCAAUUUAGUCCUUUUCAUUAAUUACCUAUCCAAACGUUAAAAUUUUCUAACGGAAUUUUAAUACCACAUUACUAACAUUUCAUAAAUAUUUAUAAAAAUAUUUCCUACUCAUUUUUACGAGAUCAAGGUCUUAAUACCUUGUUUUUACCCAAUUUCUUCAAUAAUUUCUUUUUCUAACUAACCACUAAAUCGGUAAAAUUUUUUCUAUCGAUAUUUUGAUACGAUUUUUAUAUCAUAUAAAUAUUCAUGCAACAAUAUUAAAAUAAAUUUCUCUUUAAAUCGGAUUUGUGGUUACGAAACCACUGUUUCAAUAACCUUGAAUUUAGGCCAUUACAACUAUGCAUUGACCAAUGUUGAAAUCAUUGUGUGAGAUGUGUUCAGUUAAUCAAAUGAAAUAGUUGGUUCAAAGCUUAGUCUACCAUGCAAUUUCGAUUAACUUUAACAUGUUUUCACUAGGUGAAAGUUCAAUCGUAAGAUACCUUUCAUUUAUGUAACUUGAUUUUCAAGAAUAUCAAAAUCUAAAAUAUUUUGAAAAUGGGGGGAGAUUGUUGGAACAUUUUCAAAUAUUUAUAGUGUUCCAAUAACUAUAAAUGAAUGGGUGUAAUUAAUCAAAAGAUUAUAUCGUUUAAUUUUUUGAAAAAGAAUUAUAACUAUUUGAAUAAUUUUUGCGCAAAUUAUUGAAUAUUCUUUAUUAGAGAAUUUUUUAGACCACCAUAUAAAUCAGAAAAAAUUAUGCGCAAACAUUUACACAAAAUAAUGCAUAUACAGUUAUAGCUUACAGUUAUUAAACUUGAAAUAAGCUUCAUAAUUGUCAAAAUCAGAUAAAUCGGUUUGUACGUCAGAAAUAUUAAAAAAAAAAUUGAUUAGUUUUUUAACGAGUACAACGAUUAAACAAACGAUUUAAGCUGAAUUCUAUAAAUCUUCAAUAUUUUUUUUAAAGUUCUUAAUAUUUUAUCUAGUAAAGAAAACUAAAUCGGAUCGAAAAAUAUUCUUGACCGAUUGAACUAGAGUUCGGACAUUAUCCAUUCCUUUCGUUAUAAAAGAAUUCCAGCCUUGGGCAUGUCAAGUUGUGUUCCACCAGGUCAAGACAAAUCAUCAACAUAAGUAUUUUGCGUUUUCUGUAAAUAAACGAAUAAAAAGGCUACGAUAUUAUUACAAAAUCAUCAAAUUCACCCAGUGUUUUUCAGACAUUUCCAAUAUAACAGGAGAAUGAUUGAUAAAAGAAUCACAAGAAACUCCUCUUAACAAAUAUCUGAAUAACAAGUAUUUUCUCAAUCAACUACAACAAUGACAACUCAGUUCAAAAAUGAGAAUUAAUGUAUACAUCUUAAAGCAUGACUAUAUCUUAACCUAAAAAGCAUAUCCCCUUUAACACACUAAUCGAUCUUGACAGAUGAGUAGAUAAGUCUCGUGAACCAAAAGCACGCAUAAAAUCCGAUGGUGCCCGUUAGCACAAAAAAUGCAUACGAAGCGAUUAGCAUGUACCCAAAGUAUAGGAGCCCCGAAACCAGCUUAGUGAUCUCAAGCUUUGUGAAGAAAUAAAAUGUAGCGUAGAGGAAGAGGUACAAAGCCGAGGAGCCGGAUGUGAGAUAUGAUCUCCACCACCACAAAUAAUCUUCACUGCAUAAUUGGAAGUAGCAAAGCACAAUGGUUAUUUCAGCACAAGUGAUAAGGAGGAUAAUGAAUACCAAGAACAGGAAACCAAAGAUGUAGUAGAACUGGUUCAGCCAGAUUGAGGUGAGAAUGAAGAACAGCUCGAUGAAAACAGCUCCAAAUGGAAGUAUUCCUCCGAUCAGAAUAGAGAAUGUCGGGGUCAUAUACCAAGCUUGCUCUGGGAUUUGCCUUGGGAUUUUGUUCGUCUUCACAGGAUCCUCAAUUGCUGG